CGAAUUCUGACUGGUGCCCAUCAUGGGGCAUACUAUGCGAAAUCUAGGUGGCCCCAAGUGAUCUCGUGGGCCAACUGACAGUCCAUGCUAUUGAUCCAUUUCUUCAUUGUUUUUAUUAAUACUCAUAGUUUGUAAUAAUACUCAUAGUUUGUUUGUCCUCAUAGACUGUAAAAGAAUGUUUAAAGGGAUUGGAAUUAAAAAAAUCACUUCGGCAUGGCGUUUGAGCCAAGCAAAGACAAAAAUGAUUUUUCAAAAGAAAUUUUCUAAAAAGGUUGAUUUAGUCUUCACGCUCUCUCUUUC
rnacentral:lncRNA from 1 species